CCAAAAUCCCUUGCUCUCCUCCCUGGGCAAUGGCUCUGCAACUAAGAUCAUCGAAAUCUCGAAUCAUCCAUCAAAACCCUAAAUCAAUCAUCAAAUUCUUCUCUUCCACUACCAAUUCAUUACCAGAUUCUACUACUUCCGAUGAAGAAACCACAGAUUCAUCACCAUUACCUUCAAUUUUCAAAGGCAUUAAGGAGCCCAACCGCACACCCCUAAAACUACCACCGCCAAAAACCCCUUCACCCUCAUCAUUUCUCGGUAAUAAUCCCAAGGAAUUCCAAGAAAAAAUAGUAAAAUUCUUCGGACAUAAUCGUAGAUUUAAUGUCGAUGAUUCACGUACAGUUUCUCGGCAGCCUCCUCGUGAUUAUUACCCGAAACUCUCAGUUCAAGAGGUUGAAGAGAAUGAUAGGAAUGAAAUUAGUACUAGUUUAGGUCAAAAUAAGAAUCGAUUUAGGGGUAAUUAUAAUAAUAACAAUUGUUUGAGUAGAAUUGAGAGUGAUGGUGAUCCAUUUGAAUCACUUGGUGAGGUUGUGAAGGUGAAGAAGCCAGAUGAAGAUGAUGAUAAGAAUGAGAUUAGUUCUAGUUUAAGUAAGCUUCAUACAUUGAAAGACAAUGUGCAUUAUUACUGUACAUUGAAGAAUCGAUUUAGGAGGGAUGGUGAUAAUAAUAAUUGGUUAAGUAGAGUUGAGAGUGGUGGUGAUCCUUUUAAAUCACUUGGUGAGGAGGUUGUGAAGGUGAAGGGUGAUGAUGAUGGGGAUGGAGUGAUUAAUCAAUCAAGGGAAAAUGAAGGAGGGGGGUCAUUGGAAGAAUGGUUAAUGAGUGGUGCUGAUGUUAGGAGAAAAGAAAUGGAGGUUGAAGCUUCGGAAACGGAGGAUAAAUCAAACAAGCAUUCUUUAAACAUGGCGACCGAGUCCAGCUCAAAAGUUCAUAAUGAGGGGAAAGGCAAAGUUGUUAGAUGGACCACGGCCACAGAUAGUAUUCUUCUUGACACCUUGGUUGAUCAAGCUACAGAGGGUAAAAUGCAUGGAGAUGCAUGGGAGGAUAAUGUGUGGAAGGUAGUAACAGAUGCAAUAUCCCAAAAGACUCGUAAAGAAUUUUCAAGAAAGCAAAUAGAUUAUAGACUUGGUGUUAUGAGAAUUGAGUAUCAAAGAUUUCUUGAGUUAAAAGAAAAGAGUAAUUUCCGAUGGUGUCCGAUCAAGCAAAAUGUCGUCGCAUCUGAUGAACGAUGGAAUGAGUUUCUUGCAGUAAAUGCAGCAAACAAAAAGUACAAGAGUUUGCGCGAUAGAGGACCAAAAUGGGAUUUUGUGAAGUUAGGAAUAAUCUUUGGUGAUCAUCAUGCUAUAAGAGGUUCAGUUGAAGGUGGAUUUGAUUGCCUGAAACCCAAAGAGAUUAAUGAAGUUGGUGGUUCACAUAAAAAUGAUUACUCUGACAAAGACGAAAAUGAAGGUAUUUCAGAUGAAAAGAAGGUAUGCCAGAGUAUGACGAAAGAUGUGAUUGAAGAAAUGACCAACACCUUCAUCGACAAACUUUCUAAGUCUGUGGGCCCUUUAUCAAUUGGAUUGCAACUUCAUGAAGAACUUACGAAAAUGGAUGAUUUUAGCACUGAUUACCUCGACUGUGCCUUUGAGUUACUUAUGAGGGAUAGAAUAGGUACUGAAAUCUUUUUGAUUAGAGAUGCUGCAUAUAGGAAGAAGAUGUUGGAGAACAUGAGGGAAAAGAUAGGAGACAUCUGAUGUAUUUGAUUUUGCAGUCUUAGUUAGAACUGACCUAGGAAUUUUCUUCUCUGCAAUUUUUUGCUAAUUACAAGAAUAACAAGCAGUUGUGAGAUUUUGUUUUGCAUAUCUGAGAGCUCACAAAGCAGGAGGGAAACGUUUGUGUAUAUAUAAAUGAUAAACCUCUGCAGGCCCAAUUUUCUCAGGUACGUUUCUGUUAACAUUGCUCCGGUAAAAAAUUUCAAACUCAGCCGUGGAUAGAUACUCCGGUCAGCAAUUACGGUCAGUGAUAAAAUACGCGUGAGUUGCUGAAUCAAAUAGUCAAAAC